GGCAUUGAGGAGGGCACUUGUUGGGAUGAGCACUGGGUGUUGUAUGGAAACCAACUUGACAAUAAAUUAUAUUAAAAAAAAAAAGAAAGAAAGGCAUUGCUCAGAGCAUGAAAGCACAAGCCAUAGACUGAGAGGAAAUAUUUGUAUCUUGUAAAGGACUUGUGUCCAGAAUAUAUUUUUAAACCCUCAGGACAAUAAUAAACAUAAAUAACCCACCUUAAAACCUGGUUCAGAGAUGGGAACAAGAGGUGAACAGAUGAUAUAGGAAUGGCAAAUGAGCACUUUUCCUUAGGGAAUGCAAAAUAAAACCAUGAGAUACCCAGUUACACCAAUUACAAUAGCUAAAAUUAAAAAGGCUGACUAUAUCCAGGGUUGAGAAAGAUAGGUAGGAAUGAGAACCCUCAUGCAUUGUUGGUGAGAAUGUAAAAUGUUAGAACCACUUUGGAAAAUAGUUUGGCAGUUUCUUAAAAACCUAAACAUAAACCCACCAUAUGAUCUAGCUAUUCUGCUCCUGGGUAUUUACUCAAGAGAAAAGAAAGCAUACGCGUGUGCAAGGACCUGUACUUGAAUGUUCGUAGCUCCUUCAUUUGUGAAAGCCAAAUGUCCAUCAACAGGUAAAUGGAUAAACAUAUUGUGGUGCAGGUUUCCCUUGCUAUCCGAGAGUAGAGCAUUCCUACGGAUUGUUUCAUACGCCAAAAUGGAGUAAAGGGAAGAAGCAAUUACCAUUCAUGUGUAGGGAAACAUUUUUUACUUUUCCCAGACCCCAAAAUAACUUCUCUUACGCUUUUCUGAUACCUUAAGACGCAUCUUGUUAACGGAUGCGCACAAUAAUCAAGAUAAAGCACAGAUGCUCACAGGCACAGUUCAAAGCUCUGGUGGCUUGAUGCUGAGACACUGAGUGUAGUUGCCGGGCCCCUCUAGCUGAUCAGGGUGUGCAUUGCCUCUGUAACAGCUCAUCGCAAAACAAACACAGAAUGCGAUUUUUUUUUUUGCUUUUCUCCUUUUUUUCGUAAAAGCAAAAGUUCUCUUCAGGUUUCUUUCGGUUAGCAAAAACGGGUAGAAAAGUAGGUCUUUCAUAAAAGUGAAGGGACAGAAUGGGAACCUUUGAAAAGUAGGAGACACUUACAUAUCCAUCCCACGGAAUACUAGUCAGCAACGUAAAAGAUGAACCAUUGGUAUACGCAGCAACAUAGAUGAGCCUCAAAAUAAUUUUGCAGAGUGAAAGAAGCUAACAAAACAGUCUGAUGGCAACACAUCUAUAGCAACGGAAAGCAGAUCAGUGAUUUCCUGGAGCAGGGGAUAGAAAGGGUAGGAGGGAGGGAUUACCAAGAUGUAUGAGGAAUAUUGGUUUUGCAUCCUUCAGCUGACGCACACUAUCAUGAUCGUGGUGACGGUUUCAUAGGUACAUACAUUGUCAGAACUGAUCUGAUUGUUCACUUUAUACAUUAUGUCAUGAUGAACGUUAGGUCAUGAUGUCAAUUAUAUCUCAUUAGGCUGUUUUUAAAAAGCAAAAAAGGAAUACAUUAGAAGCAUAUUAAAGAAUCCUUUAUAGGCAGAUAAUGGUGUUGAUUGCUUGGGAAGUGGAUGCAGGUAGGCAGAUGAAGAACUCGAAAAAUGAUAAAAACAGCAAAUCAAAACAAGACACCAUUCCUACUCUAGGUUAUAUGUCUCUAGGAUGGAAGUUGUACAUUAAGGGCACGCUGUUCUAAGUAGCCACAGUCUUGAAAGACAUUCCUCAUGUUGAUCAUCACAACAUAAGGUGUACCCUCAAGAAGGAAACCGGUGAAGUUAGGCUUUCGGGAGACAAGAGAGGAUUCUCUCUCUCUCUAGACUGUUCUAGGGUCUUGUUGGAGGGGGAUGAAAUUUAGCCUCCACUUGGCGAUGCCCAUCAAUAGGUCAUUCCCUACCCUUUUAAUAACUCCUCCCCAGGAGAAGUGCAGUGACUUCUCCGAUGGAUGUGUUUCCAUCCUUAACCUUCCUCUUUGGAACAAGAUGCCUUUAGGCAGCAUACAUUCUCCUCUGUUCCUUCUUGAGGUGGGUUUUUUUUUUUGUUUUUUGUUUUUUUUAACAGGUGCAAUUGGCCUUUCCCCCAAAUAAAGAGGGACUUAUUUGGAGAAGAAGCCUGAUGUGAUUAGAUGCUGCAUGAAACUGAGACUGCUCUCCAUUCACAUCAAGCUUCAGGCUGCCAACCAUCGUUAAUGAAGUGUGAACCUGAAGGACUGAAUCAAGGCGAUCUCACACCACAACUUCUAGAAAACAAAACAGAACAAAAAAACAGCAAACAACAACAAAACUUGCAAUGUUCAGGGAACAUCUCCUUUUUCAUUUUUGCAAGUAAGUGUUCAAGUGUUGGACAACACAAUCCAUCCUACUGAAGGUGCCCUGCUCAUGUGCUGUGUUCACUCCUGCUGUUGAGGUCCCUGAAACUUCUCAGUUCUGGUCCUCUCUGAGUCUUGGUUUACAUUUGUCUGCAAUUCAUUGAGCUUCCCCCAAAUCUUUCCAUUAAGUUCCCUUCUCAGCUCAGUUAGCCAGAAUGUCUUCCUGUUGAUUGUAACCAAAAAACAAAACAAAACAAAACAAAAUAAACAAACAAAAAACCCUUUAACUGAUAUACCUUGUUUAAUAAAGAUAUUCAAAUCUUUCCAUUUCCCCUGUUAGAGCAAAAGGUGUAUCUCGAGAUUUCAGGAGAAUGAAUACAAGAACGAAAUCUAAAGGAAAUGACCACGGGUUUCCCCUUAGGAAACUUUAAGUCUUUGGAGACUGGGUGAAGGAAUGCAUUGUAAUUCCUCAUGUCCAGGCUGUUAUAAUGGGAAUAAUUCGGGGAGGCUCUGAUCCUAUGAGGUUUUUUGGUUUUUUGUGUUUUGUUUUGUUUUGCUUUUUUAUCCACGAGUGCUUAUCAGGGUGCCUACCACAGUCUGGGUACAAAGUUAGAGAGCACAUACACCUUAACCUUCUAGCAGCAUGGCUGGGGGUGCUAUCACAUGAAGAAGACUACAUUCUUUGUUGGAGAAUACCAUGGAAUAUCACUUUGCCAAGUGCCAAGAUACUGCACAUGGAGUUGAUGUUCCUUCUUAGCAUCUAUAGCCCAUUAUGCUCACCUUGCAUUCAUGUUAAAUGAAUUAACCUUCUAUUGAAUAAACUGCUGACCACCUUG